rnacentral:rRNA from 1 species
AAUAGAUACCCGGGUAGUCCACGCCGUAAACGAUGAGUGCUAAGUGUUAGGGGGUUUCCACCCCUUAGUGCUGCAGCUAACGCAUUAAGCACUCCGCCUGGGGAGUACGGUCGCAAGACUGAAACUCAAAGGAAUUGACGGGGGCCCGCACAAGCGGUGGAGCAUGUGGUUUAAUUCGAAGCAACGCGAAGAACCUUACCAGGUCUUGACAUCCCGCUGACCGCUAUGGAGACAUAGCCUUCCCUUCGGGGACAGCGGUGACAGGUGGUGCAUGGUUGUCGUCAGCUCGUGUCGUGAGAUGUUGGGUUAAGUCCCGCAACGAGCGCAACCCUUGUCCUUAGUUGCCAUCAUUCAGUUGGGCACUCUAAGGAGACUGCCGUACAAAUACGGAGGAAGGUGGGGAUGACGUCAAAUCAUCAUGCCCCUUAUGACCUGGGCUACACACGUGCUACAAUGGACGGUACAAACGGUCGCGAAGUCGCGAGACGGAGCCAAUCCGAAAAAACCCGUUCUCAGUUCGGAUUGCAGG